rnacentral:rRNA from 1 species
GACGAACGCUGGCGGCGUGCUUAACACAUGCAAGUCGAACGGAAAGGCCCUGCUUUUGUGGGGUUCUCGAGUGGCGAACGGGUGAGUAACACGUGAGUAACCUGCCCUUGACUUUGGGAUAACUUCAGGAAACUGGGGCUAAUACCGGAUAGGAGCUCCUGCUGCAUGGUGUGCGUUGGAAAGUUUCGGCGGUGGGGGCUGGACUCGCGGGUUAUCAGCUUGUUGGGGAGGUAGUGGCUUACCAAGGCUUUGACGGGUAGCCGGCCUGAGAGGGUGACCGGCCACAUUGGUCCUGCGAUAGGGCCCAGACGCGUACGGGAGGCAGCAGUGGGAAAUCUUGCGCAGUGGGCGGGCGCCUGAUGCAGCAACGCCGCGUGCGGGAUGACGGGCUUCGGGUUGUAAACCGCUUUCGCCUGUGACGAAGCGUGAGUGACGGUAAUGGGUAAAGAAGCCCCGGCUAACUACGUG